rnacentral:rRNA from 1 species
UACGUAGGGCGCGAGCGUUGUCCGGAAUCAUUGGGCGUAAAGAGCUCGUAGGCGGCCUGUCGCGUCUGCUGUGAAAACUCGGGGCUUAACCCCGGGCCUGCAGUGGGUACGGGCAGACUAGAGUGCGGUAGGGGAGACUGGAAUUCCUGGUGUAGCGGUGAAAUGCGCAGAUAUCAGGAGGAACACCGGUGGCGAAGGCGGGUCUCUGGGCCGUAACUGACCCUGAGGAGCGAAAGCGUGGGGAGCGAACAGG